ACAACCACUUUUGUCGAUUACAACAAAAAUGAAUCGUUGGGUUUCUAAUAGCCAUUUUCGACGAUUGAGUUCAACUACAAAUUUCACUCAUCAUUCCUCUCACAUCUCACUGUUCUUUAUCUCUUCUCAUUCUCUUGCUGUUUCCUCUAAAUUCUUCUGUCUUCUCUGAAUUUUGCUUUCACACCUAGUCUUCUCACUCAUAGACGUUGUCUCUCUUCUUCUUCUUCUUCUUCUUCUUAUUCUUCUCCUACGUCCUUCUUAUCUUGGCAUUUGACGCAGUCACCGACUUCGACUGUUUCUUCAGCCGUCUACUCCUCUCUCUCAGGGUAAUGCUUCUCUGUCUUUGUUUCUUUCCUAUUGUUCUUAAUUUGCUCUUUGAGUAAGAAGGAAUAGAUAGACGUUGCUGCUGGCACUCUUUUAUGAAUGGGUGGGUGAGGAGAGGAGAUGAGAAUGUUGGAUCCGAGGCCAUUUUGUAGUGUUUGGGUUUUGUUUUGUGGGUUUCAGUUAGAUCUGGCCUUUAAUAAAAUAUAAAUUAGAACGUGCAUGUUUCUUGGUCGCCAAUCACUUAGCUAUUUUCUCUCUAUCCGCUUCCUAUCAGAAUAUUCUUGAUUUAAAGUAUGCUUAUGUUUUUUAACAGUUUAUUCAUUUGCCAACUUCACUGCAAGUCCAAAAUUCGAACACUUUCAAAUCCUUUAAACUCGAAAUUCAAAAUUUUGAAAUCAAACCUUGUGAUCCACCGCUGCAACCACCACCAAAGCCAGCCAGGUCAAGCCCUGCACCACCAAAUUGGUCUCUCGAUCCCAAAACGGCUGCUUCCAAUUCAUUGUCGGCGCAUCACCUGAAGCCUCAAGACUGGUCGCUAAGCCUAGUGAGUCUACAGUGGCUCCCCCGUCUACUUCUCCGCAGUACUUAGCUUCUUCUUUUUUCGUUUUUUCUUUAUUUAAUUUUUUAAUUAUAUAAAAAUAAAAUAUAUUUUUUGUUAUUUUAAUAUUUUAAUCCCUAUAUUUUAGACUUGUAGGAUCCAGUUAUGUGCCACGUCAACACAUAACAGAAAUUUUGACAGAAUAGUGACGAAAUGACCACAUUGAUUUGUGACACCCAUUUUUAGGGACUGCAUUGAUCGAUUUGCAAUUUUAGCGAUCAUCUUGAUAGGGUAGGCCAAUUUCAGGAACCGUUUGUGAUAAAAACUGAAAUAUGUAUUUGAUGGAACUUGACAAUUUUAUAUCCUUAGGUUAUUAUAUACAUAUGCGAUGAAUGGUCUUUUUAUAAGAAAACUGGGUGGUAUGGUUGGCAUUAAUGCUUGUGGCAGUGGUGGUGGGAACGACGAAAUUAGCAGUGAUGAUGGUGGCGAUGAACAAAUUAGUGCUAGCAGCAAUGGUGGUAGGGACAACAAAAUUAGCAGUGAUGAUGGUGGGAUGAACAAACUAUUGAUGAAGAUGUACCGGAGUCGCCUAUUGCUACUAGAGCUGCCCGAUGGAUCAUUCGUGCGUCAAUCCCGUUAAUAGCAGGGAGCGCCACUGUAGUAACUACGAGGUCAAAGGGCAUCACGUUUGGUGUGUUCAAUUUAUUCACGAACAGACUAUCCUUUUUAUUGAUGUUGCUCGCUACAAUCAUCUUGAGGGCACUGCAUGAAAACACCGUUCUAGGUAUGAAGAAUUUCAUGUCACAUGAAACAUCGUUCUUUUUGCUCUUCGUUUCAUGAUUGAUUGCAACAUAGUUGGUGCUUGGUGGAAAGCUGGAAAAUAUAAGACAGCGAAGCAUCUGUCCUAGCUAUUACCAAGAAGGGUUUGAUUGCCUGUACCCUUAUGCUUUCAAGGCACUAUUUAUGGUUAGUGAAUAUAAAUGUCAUUUGCAUGUUGAACUAUAUCCCACUUGGCAAAUAUGUCAUUGACAACCUGCCUUUUUAGAUGUAAUUUGCAUGUUUGGAUUCAGCAGCUACCCAAGGAAUUGCACAUUUUAAGCUCUUAUGCUCCUUUACUUCACUGUGAUAACAUUUUUGGCAUAGCAUCAGUAACCAAUCAUGAGCAUAUUGAAAUUGAUUGUCAUUUUGUUCGUGAACAACACUCUUUUGUUGCAGUUUGUAGCUUCUGCAUAUCAGUGUGUAGACAUUUUCACAAAAGGAUUAUGUUCUCCUCAAUUUAGUGUUCAUUGUUCCAAUCUUAUGCUAGGUUGUUUCCACUCUUUGCUGGUGGCUUAGAGGGUAAGAUAAUUGAAUAUACGCUCUCUUUUGCUCUUCUAUAGUUGGUCGAUGUUCAUUUACUCUACUAUAUUUAUUUUCAUUUCUGCAGUUACCAUGUGUACAGGGGAAAGGAAAGAUGCAUACAUAUUUGUAGUUAACACUGGAGAUGAUAUGCAAGACGUCAUCUUCAACACUGAUCCAUAAAUCUUUCCAAACCUAUUAGUAUGAUGAAGGAAUCCCUUAAACAUCAAACAUUUCCCGUCACAAAAACAUACCAAGAUAAAUUUCUUAAACGGUGUUGCGGUUCAAUUGACAAAUUUCUCAAACGACGUACAAAUUUCUUAAAUGACGUCCAAAUGAAGGAUGGUGAAGAAUAUAUCACGUCGUUCCAUCCUUUUCAAUAUCACGUUGAAGCAUGGUGAAGAAUAUAUCACGCUGUGUUUAGAAUUGAAAACAUGUGGCACCUAAAAACAGGCAAAAGUUUAACCAAAAUCCUAAAAGCUAUAGAUGUUUAGUCUAUGAAAGAGUACAAUUAGGCGCCAAAUUCUAAACACCCCAUAUUAAAAAGCAUAAAUAAGUUACAAUGAAACUUCAUAAACAGAUAUAGUCGUGGAAUAUUUAAAGGGUGUUGGCCAAACA